rnacentral:rRNA from 1 species
GACGAACGCUGGCGGCGUGCUUAACACAUGCAAGUCGAACGCUGAAGCUCAGCUUUUGUUGGGUGGAUGAGUGGCGAACGGGUGAGUAACACGUGAGUAACCUGCCUCCUUCUUUGGGAUAACGCCCGGAAACGGGUGCUAAUACUGGAUAUUCACUGGUCUUCGCAUGGGGGUUGGUGGAAAGGGUUUUUCUGGUGGGGGAUGGGCUCGCGGCCUAUCAGCUUGUUGGUGGGGUGAUGGCCUACCAAGGCUUUGACGGGUAGCCGGCCUGAGAGGGUGACCGGUCACAUUGGGACUGAGAUACGGCCCAGACUCCUACGGGAGGCAGCAGUGGGGAAUAUUGCACAAUGGGCGCAAGCCUGAUGCAGCGACGCCGCGUGAGGGAUGGGGGCCUUCGGGUUGUGAACCUCUUUCGCUCAUGGUCAAGCCGCAACAAUGGUUGUGGUGAGGGUAGUGGGUAAAGAAGCGCCGGCUAACUACGUG